GGGGAAUUUUCCGCAAUGGGCGCAAGCCUGACGGAGCAAGACCGCGUGAGGGAGGAAGGCUCUUGGGUUGUAAACCUCUUUUAUCAGGGAAGAAGAUCUGACGGUACCUGAUGAAUCAGCAUCGGCUAACUCCGUGCCAGCAGCCGCGGUAAUACGGAGGAUGCAAGCGUUAUCCGGAUUUAUUGGGCGUAAAGCGUCCGCAGGUGGUUUUACAAGUCUGCUGUUAAAGCGCGAGGCUUAACCUCGUACAGGCAGUGGAAACUGUGAGACUAGAGUAUGGUAGGGGUAGCGGGAAUUCCCAGUGUAGCGGUGAAAUGCGUAGAUAUUGGGAAGAACACCAGCGGCGAAAGCGCGCUACUGGGCCAUUACUGACACUCAUGGACGAAAGCUAGGGGAGCGAAAGGGAUUAGAUACCCCUGU
rnacentral:rRNA from 1 species